AUGUUGCCGGUCGCGCAGCAGGCCCGCGGCUGGGGCUCGGGCUCGGGCUCGGGCUCGGGCUCGCGCUGGGCGGGCGGCGGCAGGCGGCGGCGGCCCGAGGCGGCGGUCCGCGCGCAUAGGGAGCCCUGCCUAGUGCAUGGCCGGGCGCACGCGGCCGCCUCCCGCGGGGCCACGCGCCCGGGGGAAACGAGGCGGGGAAUUCACCAAAACCCGCAAGCGAGCAGUCACUUGACGCGGGCCUCGCCGCCCGGCUCAGCCACUGGGGCCCCGGGGUCCCGCCCCCCCCACACACACAAGUUUCCUCGCCAGACCCGGCGGAAGCGAGGAAACCCCCGCAACCCGAGCGCGCCGGCCGAGACUCUUGGUGAAAGCGAGGCCUGCGGGCCCCACACCGGGAGCCGAAGAAGCCGAGAGAGAAAGGCGCGGCCUGAUCGUCUCCCCACCUCGCAGGAGGGCGCCGGAGGGGCGGGGAGUGGGCGGGGGCGCCCGGCGGGAGGGCAGCACCCUCGCAGCCCAGAAUGUGUUUUCGCUUUCGGCCCCGACCGCGGUGAGGACGGCGGGAGGUGUAGUUUGGGCAGCGGCAGGAAGUCGGCCUGCGGCGGGCGGGGACGCGCGGCCGGCCUACCCGGUGAGGGGAGGCGCCCGGGAGGCGCGCGGACUACAAGUCCCUACAGCACGGUCGCCGCCGCCGCCACCCGGAGCGGGCUUCACGCUUCCCGGGCACCGCGCGUCCUCCAGCAGGCCGAGGGUCUCCGCCUGCAGAUGCGCGGAGACCUGCGCGCGCCGCCCCGCCCGGCCGCCCGCCCUCUGCGCCGCGGGCCUGCGGGAUGUGCGCGCACCCUGCGUGCGUGGAGUUGCCAGGGACACGGAGGCCGCUGGGUCGGCCCUUUGUGUAUUUCCAAACAGAGGGCGCACCUGUCUGCUCCCCUCCCCCACCCCCGCCCGCCCCGGCCUCUUCCCCUGACGUUUCCAUGGAGGUGGCUUUAACGGCUUAAGCAGAAAAUAGACCUAAUUGGCGAAGGCUCCUGGAACUCGCAUCGUGCGGGGCGAUACAGGCUGUCCAUAAAUCAGCCGUGGACUGCUGAUUCCUAUUCGAGACUAGAAGUACAGCUCUGGCGGUAUAUAGCAAGAUGAUGUCUUUGCCACAGACAUUUUGGUUCACCCUGCCACUACAGCUGCCCACCCCAGCACAAAGGGGUGUCGCUAGUCGGAAAAACUUAAGAUUUUUUUCCCCCCUUUUUAAAAACCAUCUUGUAAUUGUUUGAUAGCGUGCUGGACGUGCCCUGGGUUCCAGCGGUGUUUGCUGGAGGAUUCCUGUUCAACUUCCCACCCUGCGAAGUUGAAUGACAGUGUAUGCCUUUAGAACCUAGAAUUUAUCCAGCUUGUUUUUGUGACACCAGAAUUUUAUUUUUAUUCAAGUACAACAGCAUCUGGUAUCCCAGUCUUUUAAAUACACGAUUAAUCAUAAAAUCUACUCUUGAAGCCAUGGUGCGGCAGGGUGGGGCUGGGGAGGCUGAAGAGUUAGUUACUGUAGAUUUAGACAUGUGGUCAAACAGACUCUUUGGAAUGGGGGGCAAGGCAGGCCAGAUGGUGAGAGUCCAGUGCAAAUUACUGAAAAUUCUAUUUGAGAAAUCUGUUUUCAGUACUUGGUGCAAACAAUGACUCGUGUGUUCACUCUCCUUGGAACGUUUAGAUUUGAUUUCUUAAGGUUUAAAGAUUCAAAUAUCCAAUGGUGCUGUUUUUAGAGAAAGCAAAAAAAGGAUUCUGACCUAAAUGAAUUUUCUUGUCCCACUAUUGAAUUUUGUACAUUUUGUAGAGAAAUACACUUCAGAAUCCCUUUUAGAAAAAUCUAGUUUCAAGUCAAACCUGUUGCUUUUCCUUCUUCAAAAAUAUAUAAUUUAAAAUAUAUGAUUGCACUCUCAUUCCACUCAAAAAGAACUGCCCAGUUUUGCCACUACUUACAAUAUGGCAUUUUCUUUUUAUAAAUAUGACUUGCCUUUUAAACCCACAGAGGAAUGGAAAGCAAAGUAAUAUCUAAACAAUAGCUUAAAUAUCGAAUUCUUAAAAUGAGUAGAUUCUGUAGUAUUAAUAAGCAACAGACUUUCAUAUAUGCCAAAAGAAAAUCAUGCCUUUCCUAACAUUUAUGUAAUUUAGAAAUAAGAGUUCUGAAGCUCAUCUCCAAAUCAAUAGGUAUUUGGAAAAUCUACUGUGUCUAGCAUGCUAGACAACUGCAUUGCUAAUUAUCUUGAGAACAUAUUAGAAACAUAUUUCCAGGGGCCUCACGUUUGAAAAUUUAUCAAGCCUUAUUUUGUAAUUGAAAUGUUAAUGACUACAUUGUUCGUGAUUACAUUAAUUUUUAGAAGUCAUUAAAAAGCUUUGCUCACCUUUUAUAUGUGCAAUAAUUCCAUUUUGAGUGGCUAAUACUGUUUCAAGCAUAUUUUCUAUCUUAAGCUUUAUCUAUAUUUUAAUCUUAUUUGAAUGCGCUUACAUACAUACAUUUUUUUUAAUGGAAUAUCACUAUUUUUUAAAGCCCCCAGAUUCCUUUGAAACACUUUGAAAAGGAAACCAAAUACAUCAUUAACACUACCAUGUCUUUAUUUUCCAUUACAAAAAUGUAAUUCACUCACAAUUGUACAAAUGAAUACGAUCAUUUAAACAAGUACUCUAGUUGACACUACAGUUGACUUACAGUAUUUUUUAAACGAAUCAUUAAAUACUAAGAAAACAGAGGCUCUAAUCAGAAUUCAUCACCAUUCUAUGUAAUCUUAUAAAAAUGUGGUUUGUUAUCAGAGUACUAGAAGACUAACACAUUUCCAGUCAUCUCUACACUUGAUGUCCUGACAAAAUUACUUAUUAUCCUCAUUCCUGCUAAAUGAGUGCAGAUCAGCCUCACUCUAAACUGCCUGCUUCUGCUUCCAAAAUUAGAAGUAAAACACCUGUUGUAUCUGACCAGGGGCCUGUUUAAGGAAAUCCUUUAGGUAUUUUGAGACCUGAUCCAACGCAGACCCUCUGUAUGCCAAAUCCCCAAAUAUAGCUCCCCGUUUAGACAACAUUAAAGGAUCCUAUGACUUUAAACUGAACCAAUGCUUAUAGAAAUUCACUUGCUAACCUUAACCUCUGAAAGUUUUCAAAAAACUACAUCUGACUGACCAUGUUCGCUCUGAGGAAGCCGUUUCUGAUCAGCAAAAGUGAAGAGCAGACAUUUUAAUCAAAUAUAAUCUGAAGGAUUCAACGCUCCUGAGAAGUUAAUGAAAUUAGUCAUCCCAGGCAAAUGUGUCAACUGUUUUUCUUGUACACAGUUAAAUACCUCACGUCUGCUUGCUCUGACAAACUUUGGAGCUAAUAAUCAGUUUUGUUUUAAAAAUGAUAGAUUUUCUGCAGCUUUUUUUCCAAUAAAAAGUUAGGUGUUAUGGUGGUGGUGUUUAGUCACUCAGUUGUGUCCAACUCUGCGACCCCAUAGACUGUAGCCCACCAGGCUCCUUUGUCCAUGGUAUUUCCCAGGUAAGAAUGCUUCAGUCGGUUGACAUUUCCUUCUCCAAGUAGGCAUUCUCCAGUAUUCAUUUACCGUAGGCAUUCUCAAAGAUGGCCCCCAGUGAUUCCUGUCUCCUGGUAUUCACUCUCCUGUGUAGUUGCCGCCACUUUAUAGCAGGAUUGGUCUCUGUGAUCAAUAGAAUAGAGCAAAUUGUACAAAUUUAAUAUAUUGCUGCUGAGAUCAGGUUAUAAGAGAUGUUUUUGGUUGUUCUCUUACAUUUCCUCUUUUGUGGGUGACUCAGUCUAGCGAAAGCUGGUUGCUAUGGGGAAAACUUAGACGUCUCCUCGUGGGGAAAUGGAGCCUCAGCCAACAGCCACGUAAGUCAGCUUUGAAGUGAGUCCUCCAACCCAAUCAAGCUUUCAGAUGACUGCAACUCCAUGAGAAACCCCUCAUCCAGCCAAGGUGUGUAUGUCACUUCAGUUGUGACCCCAUGGACUGUAGCUCGCCGGGCUCCUCUGUUCAUG